rnacentral:rRNA from 1 species
AUUGAACGCUGGCGGCAGGCCUAACACAUGCCAGUCGAGCAGAUGAAGGGAGCUUGCUCCUGGAUUCAGCGGCGGACGGGUGAGUAAUGCCUAGGAAUCUGCCUGGUAGUGGGGGAUAACGUCCGGAAACGGGCGCUAAUACCGCAUACGUCCUGAGGGAGAAAGUGGGGGAUCUUCGGACCUCACGCUAUCAGAUGAGCCUAGGUCGGAUUAGCUAGUUGGUGGGGUAAAGGCCUACCAAGGCGACGAUCCGUAACUGGUCUGAGAGGAUGAUCAGUCACACUGGAACUGAGACACGGUCCAGACUCCUACGGGAGGCAGCAGUGGGGAAUAUUGGACAAUGGGCGAAAGCCUGAUCCAGCCAUGCCGCGUGUGUGAAGAAGGUCUUCGGAUUGUAAAGCACUUUAAGUUGGGAGGAAGGGCAGUAAGUUAAUACCUUGCUGUUUUGACGUUACCAACAGAAUAAGCACCGGCUAACUUCGUG